rnacentral:sRNA from 1 species
UCAUGCUCGCUUUUCAAGAUAGUAGGCUAAAUAUUAGGAUCUACAGUUUAUAAAUGAGGAGACAGACUCCCAGAGGUUAAGCAGCUUAACUAAAGUCACAUAGCAUCAGUACAGUUAAGAAUAUGGAGUUUAAAUCUGACCGGUUCCAGCCACCAAGUUAAACACGAUGAGCAAAACCAGCCUUGGCCAGAGCAUGAGCAAGUAUGACCUCCUGGUUUGGUUUGAGAUCAGUGAACUGGAGCCUACAGGAGAGUAUAUCCCAGCUGUGGUUGACCAUACAGCAGGCUUGCCUUGCCAGGGGACAUUUUUGCUUCAUCAGGGCAUCCAGCGAAGGAUCACAGUGACCAUUAUCCAUGAGAAGGGGAGCGAGCUCCAUUGGAAAGAUGUUCGUGAACUGGUGGUAGGUCGUAUUCGGAAUAAGCCUGAGGUGGAUGAAGCUGCAGUUGAUGCCAUCCUCUCCCUAAAUAUUAUUUCUGCCAAGUACCUGAAGUCUUCCCACAACUCUAGCAGGACCUUCUACCGCUUUGAGGCUGUGUGGGAUAGCUCUCUGCAUAACUCCCUUCUUCUGAACCGAGUGACACCCUAUGGAGAAAAGAUCUACAUGACCUUGUCAGCCUACCUAGAGCUGGAUCAUUGCAUCCAGCCGGCUGUCAUCACCAAGGAUGUGUGCAUGGUCUUCUACUCCCGAGAUGCCAAGAUCUCACCACCACGCUCUCUGCGUAGCCUCUUUGGCAGUGGCUACUCAAAGUCACCAGAUUC